AGCUCCAAUAGCGUAUAUUAAAGUUGUUGCAGUUAAAAAGCUCGUAGUUGGAUUUCUGGGAGGGUGCCAAUGUCCGCCUUUGCGCGUGUGCAGCGGCGCCCUUCCAUCCUUCUGUUAACGUCUCUUGGCAUUCAUUUGCUGGUGGCGGGCUCAGAUAUUUUACCUUGAGAAAAUUAGAGUGUUUCAGGCAGGCUAGGCCGGAAUACAUUAGCAUGGAAUAAUGGAAUAGGACUAUAGUCUCUUUGUUGGUUUGAGGGACUGCAGUAAUGAUUAAUAGGGAUAGUUGGGGGCAUUAGUAUUUAAUUGUCAGAGGUGGAAUUCUCAGAUUUGUUAAAGACUAACUUAUGCGAAAGCAUUUGCCAAGGAUGUUU
rnacentral:rRNA from 1 species